rnacentral:misc_RNA from 1 species
GAUGAAGAACGUAGCGAAAUGCGAUACGUAAUGUGAAUUGCAGAAUUCAGUGAAUCAUCGAAUCUUUGAACGCAUAUUGCGCUCUCUGGUAUUCCGGAGAGCAUGCUUGUUUGAGUAUCAGUAAACACCUCAACUCUUUUUUCUUUUUUGAAAUUGGAGCUGGACUUGAGUGAUCCCAACGCUUUCUUCCAAGAAGUGGCGGGUUGCUUGAAAUGCAGGUGCAGCUGAACUUUUCUCUGAGCUAUAAGCAUAUCUAUUUAGUCUGCCUAAAAAACAGAUUAUUACCUUUGCUGCAGCUAACAUAAAGGAGACUAGUUCUUGUGCUGACUGAUGCAGGAUUCACAGAGACAGCUUCGGCUGACUUUGUAAACUCGAUCUCAAAUCAAGUAAGACUACCCGCUGAACUUAAGCAUAUCAAUAAGCGGAGGA